GUCCUGCAGCUCCCCCACGUGGCUGCAUUUUGACAAAAACAUGCUUCCGAGAGAGGAGAUCGAGUAAGAAACCAGCCCUUCCGCGGCUGUCAUUAGCAGAUGUGCAGCUGGGGGCCAUUUUGUCAAGAAGUGGCUCAUUUGGAAAAACAAAACAAAACAAAAAAUGGCAAAAAAAAAAAAAAAAAAAAAAUCUAUACAGGUGCAUGUCAGUCCCCGGUAAUGAAAUGUAACAAAGGAAGCACUUAAGUUCAGUGAGGGAAAUACAGCUUGAAAUUACAGAUUGUACCCAGAGCACUUUAUAAACGGUAAUGUGGGAUAAUGGAUUAUCCCUACUUCGGUGAAAUUGUGGACUGCAACUUCUGCUGGGGCAAGUUAAAGGGCCAGGAGAUGGAGAGGGUCGCGGGGAUGUCUUUCCAGAGAAGGGCAACAGAGGCUAAGGGGUUAAACUCCCCAGAAAACCAAUUUAUGCAAAGGGCUGGAUCCUGACCAGCAUUCUGCGCUAAAGAUCUGAAUUACAAAUUUAGAGAAUUUGCUGCUCGACGAUGAAUUCAGGAAGGACCACACGGGCUGCUGGGAACAACUGCUUUGAAUGAAUUCUUUUAUGGAUACCAGUCAGAAAGUCACCCGUCAGCUGGAACUGGAAGGGAGAG